AACCUUUACACUGCACGACAGUGCGAUAGGGGGACACCGAGUGCGAGGGCAUAGAGCCCUCGCUUUUGUAGACCGUAAGGAGGUCUACGAAUAAGGGCUGGGCAAGACCGGUGCCAGCCGCCGCGGUAACACCGGCAGCCCGAGUGAUGGCCGAUAUUAUUGGGCCUAAAGCGUUCGUAGCUGGCCGAUCAAGUCUGUCGGGAAAUCUGCUCGCCUAACGAGCAGGCGUCCGGCGGAAACUGAUCGGCUUGGGACCGGAAGACUCGAGGGGUACGUCCGGGGUAGGAGUGAAAUCCUGUAAUCCUGGACGGACCACCGAUGGCGAAAGCACCUCGAGAGCACGGAUCCGACAGUGAGGAACGAAAGCUGGGGUCUCGAACCGGAUUAGAUACCCGGGUAGUCCCAGCUGUCAACGAUGCCCGCUAGGUAUGGCGCAGGCUACGAGCCUGUGCUAUGCCGUAGCGAAGGCGCUAAGCGGGCCGCCUGGGAAGUACGUUCGCAAGAAUGAAACUUAA
rnacentral:rRNA from 1 species